rnacentral:rRNA from 1 species
GGGCCCGCACAAGCAGCGGAGCAUGUGGUUUAAUUCGAAGCAACGCGAAGAACCUUACCAGGGCUUGACAUCUACAGAAUUCGGUAGAGAUACUGAAGUGCCCUUCGGGGAACUGUAAGACAGGUGGUGCAUGGUUGUCGUCAGCUCGUGUCGUGAGAUGUUGGGUUAAGUCCCGCAACGAGCGCAACCCUUGUUAUUAGUUGCUACAUUAAGUUGAGCACUCUAAUGAGACUGCCGAGGUUAACUCGGAGGAAGGUGGGGAUGACGUCAAAUCAUCAUGCCCUUUAUGUCCUGGGCUACACACGUGCUACAAUGGCUGAAACAAAGAGAAGCAAGCCUGUAAAGGGGAGCAAAUCUUAGAAAUACAGUCCCAGUUCGGAUUGAGGGCUGCAACCCGCCCUCAUGAAGCCGGAGUUGCUAGUAAUCGCGAAUCAGCAUGUCGCGGUGAAUACGUUCCCGGGCCUU